rnacentral:tRNA from 1 species
UUAAUUGAAACCAAAUUAGAGGUCUAUCACUGUUAAUGAUAAAAUUGAGUUCAACUCCAAUUAAA